rnacentral:rRNA from 1 species
CAGUCGGACGGUAGCACAGAGGAGCUUGCUCCUCGGGUGACGAGUGGCGGACGGGUGAGUAAUGUCUGGGGAUCUGCCCGAUAGAGGGGGAUAACCACUGGAAACGGUGGCUAAUACCGCAUAACGUCGCAAGACCAAAGAGGGGGACCUUCGGGCCUCUCACUAUCGGAUGAACCCAGAUGGGAUUAGCUAGUAGGCGGGGUAACGGCCCACCUAGGCGACGAUCCCUAGCUGGUCUGAGAGGAUGACCAGCCACACUGGAACUGAGACACGGUCCAGACUCCUACGGGAGGCAGCAGUGGGGAAUAUUGCACAAUGGGCGCAAGCCUGAUGCAGCCAUGCCGCGUGUAUGAAGAAGGCCUUCGGGUUGUAAAGUACUUUCAGCGGGGAGGAAGGCGAUGUGGUUAAUAACCGCAUUGAUUGACGUUACCCGCAGAAGAAGCACCGGCUAACUCCGUGCCAGCAGCCGCGGUAAUACGGAGGGUGCAAGCGUUAAUCGGAAUUACUGGGCGUAAAGCGCACGCAGGCGGUCUGUUAAGUCAGAUGUGAUAUCCCCGGGCUUAACCUGGGAACUGCAUUUGAAACUGGCAGGCUUGAGUCUCGUAGAGGGGGGGUAGAAUUCCAGGUGUAGCGGUGAAAUGCGUAGAGAUCUGGAGGAAUACCGGUGGCGAAUGCGGCCCCCUGGACGAAGACUGACGCUCAUGUGCGAAAGCGUGGGGAGCAAACAGGA